rnacentral:siRNA from 1 species
UUCAGUUCUUAUUAGGUGUAAC